GAGACGGAUGGCUGUCUGUGAAGAGAAAGCCGUUCUCCCGUAAGACGCAGUGCUGGAAGGCCAACAGCGACUGCUUUGCGCGAUGUAUGCGGACCUGUAAAGAUACAUAGUGAACUCAGUUGCAUCCUAUUGUGAAAGAACAGUUGAAGAGGUUGAGAAUCGUUGGAACGAAGCAAAGACAUCAGUGAAGAAAAAGGAGGCAUUUAGAAAAAGGGAAGCAUCCCAAACGGAGGGAGGAUCACCUUCUGAUGUUGGUUUCAAAGGAUGGAAACUUGAUCUCAAACAAUUGUGGCUGAAGGUGGUGGUUCAUUGCGGACUGAAAUUCUAACUGAACCAAAAACCACAAAUUGCACGGGCAUGAGAGAGGAUAGCCAGUUGUCUGGAAAGCAGGGAGAACAGCAGCCUUGCAGUCUCUCCCAUAAUAAAAUUUAAUUAUUAGAA